UAGCCCUCAGGCAUGAUCAAAUAGUGUCAUAGCAUAUCUUAAAAUUGGUAGCUAUGCUUUGAUGACAGAGAAACUUGCAUGCAAGGGAGGAAAACUUCUCUUCAAGGCAAGAGUUGGACUUAAAACAACAAAGAAAAUCACAGUGGUUUGUGUUGGAAGGAGCUUUAGGGAUCAUCCAGUUCCAUACCCCCAUGACAUCACAGGGUUGUCAUCCAUUACAUCAGGCUGCUCAGGGCCCCAUUCAACCUGGCCUUGAGCCCCUUCAGGGGUGGGGCAUCCUCAACUUCUCUGGGCAUCCUGUGCCAGUGUCUCACCACUCUCUGAGUAAAGGAUUCCUUCCUAACAUCUAACCCAAAUCUCCCUUCUUUUAAUUUAAAGCCGUUACACCUUGUCCUACCACUACAUAAAAAGUCAGUCUCCUUCCUGGUUACAAGCUCUUGGUCUUGCGGAACCUCAUUAUGGUUCACCUGGGCCUACUUUUCAUGCCUUCUGGUCCCUCUGGAUGGCAUUCUUUCCUUCUGUUUUAUCAGCUGCACUACUCAGCUUGGUGUCAUCUGCCAACUUGCUGACAGGGCAAUCAAUCCCACUGUCUGUGUCACUGAGAAAGAUAUUGAAGGGCACCGGUCCCAGGAGAGAUACCUGAGGGACAGCAUUCAUGACCGGCCUCCACCUGGACAUAGAGCUGUUGACAACAAUUUGCAUGUGUUCAAAUUUCUAAAAGUGUUUAUCUUGCUGAGGACAAAUGAUUCAAAUUUUCACCAUUUAGGAAGGAUAUAUUUAUAUAAUGGCUUAUUGAAAUAAAAAAAAUAUAUUCAUAGCAAUUUCUCUUAAGGAUAAUGAUUAAUUAUUUAUGUUUUUUCAGAGUUUAAAGAUGU
ensembl:lncRNA